AUCUUUGCGCAGCGGUAGUAGUAUCGUAGCCUAUGAGGUCUAACUGAGGCGCGAUUAUUGCUAGUUGAAAACUUUACCCAAUACCCCGCCAAAGACGACUUGCAAUAUAGUCGGCGAUGGCAAUUUUUGACAGUUUCUAAGGAGA
ensembl:snRNA U4 U4 spliceosomal RNA